AUAGAGACUCAGAGCUGCAUAUCAAUAAGCGGAGGAAAAGAAACUAACAAGGAUUCCCUUAGUAACGGCGAGUGAAGCGGGAAGAGCUCAAAUUUGAAAUCUUCAAGGUUUACCUUGACGAAUUGUAGUUUAUAGAAGUGUUUUCUGUUAGUAGAGUUUGGUAAAAGUUCUUUGGAAUAGGACAUCAUAGAGGGUGAGAAUCCCGUAUUUGACCAUUAUUUCUAGCUUCGUGAUACACUUUCAAAGAGUCGGAUUGUUUGGGAAUGCAGUCCAAAAUGGGUGGUAAAUUUCAUCUAAAGCUAAAUAUUGGCGAGAGACCGAUAGCGAACAAGUACCGUGAGGGAAAGAUGAAAAGAACUUUGAAAAGAGAGUUAAACAGUACGUGAAAUUGUCAAAAGGGAAGCGUUUGACACCAGUGUUGUUUUUCCGAAAAUCAAUUAAUGAAUGGCUGGAUUUUAAGUUUCAUGACCUUAAAAGCUUGUUGCUUAUUUUUCUUGUCUUUCUUAAUGCACUUUUCGGUUAACAAGUCAACAUCAAUUUCUUUUGUUGUAAAAGGUUAAGAGGAAGGUGGCUUUACUUUCGGGUAAAGUGUUUAUAGCCUUGUAGCUCUGCAAUCGGAGAGAUUGAGGUCUGCAGCGUAGAUCCUUCGGGGUUAGAUACGUUUGUGCUAAGUUAUAGCUUUUCAUAGACAACUUGUUGACUAUGUUUAGUCUUGUAGCUUACUCGCUGACGCUAUUUUACCUACGCUUAGGAUGUUGAUAGUCACAGCGUGUAC
rnacentral:rRNA from 1 species